CGUCAUUGCGCAUGCGCGUAACGAUUCAAGAACGGUUUUGUAUGGAGUUUGAAUUUUUCAGAAUUUUAUCCUAUUUCAUUUUUUUUUAUUUUUAUGCUUUAGCCGCCAUCUAGCGUUGCCACAGCCGUCCCUUACAGAUUUUAUAGAGUUGCAUGCCUACCUAUAAACGUAAAAAUAUUCCACCAACUGAUUCUACUGAUUUUUCGUGGCGACAUCUAGUUGCCUAUCUAUAAACGGAAAGACUGAAACUACAGAAUUCUACCAAUUUUUGAGGCGAGCGAGUCUCCUGAAAUCUCCUGAUCGUUCGUGGCGACACCUCCUGAUCCUCAAAAAAGUCAUCUGGGAACACUGAGUGCAAUGCAAAAUGAGAAAUUAAAAAUCAAGAUGGACGAUUCAUUCUGUUUACCAUAUCCGUCGAAGUUGAACUAAAUUUUUUGUUAUUAAUGAGGUCAAUAGAAAAAUACUAGAAAGUAGGUACAAAUAAUUUGCGGAAAAGUGAAAGUUCCAAUUUUGCUUCUAUGCUUCUGCCCUGCCAGUGUUGUGCUGAUCUGAUGCCGGCUGAUGGUGCCGUGUGCCAUAUCAUUGCUAUGAAGCGUUUUUAAGUUUUUAAGUGCCGCUGAUUUAAGAUUUUAUGAAUGUUAAGAGCAGAAGCAGUACCAUCACAAUCUCUGGAUACACAAAUGUAUUUUUGGUUAUUAAGGAGAGCUUACAAACACAUCAAGAUGUUUAAUUUUCAGCUUGCCACAAAAGCUUUUCUUGCCAAAAAGCAAAUUUAAGUUUCCUAUUUUUAAAGGAUUGACACUGACCAAUAUACAAUAUAAGACAACAGGAUUCAGAAAUUAAUAAUCUCUUGUGCUUAAAAAAAAAAAAGAUUAUAAAUGUAGUUAUGUACUUCUUAAAGUAUUGUUAAUAUUAAAUGUUGUUUAUGUUG
rnacentral:lncRNA from 1 species